rnacentral:rRNA from 1 species
UACAGAGGUCUCAAGCGUUGUUCGGAUUCAUUGGGCGUAAAGGGUGCGUAGGUGGCGCGCUAAGUCAGGUGUGAAAUUUCGGAGCUUAACUCCGAAACUGCAUUUGAUACUGGCGUGCUUGAGGACUGGAGAGGAGACUGGAAUUCAUGGUGUAGCAGUGAAAUGCGUAGAUAUCGAGAGGAACACCGGUGGCGAAGGCGGCCUUCUGGACAGUGACUGACGCUGAGACGCGAAAGCGUGGGGAGCAAACAGG